CGUCUUCAGGGCGGGGUGUGAUUCCCCACCGGCGGUCAGAGUCCGCGAGCGGUAAGCUGAACCGGUGAAAUUCCGGUACCGACAGUACAGUCUGGAUGGGAGAAGACG
rnacentral:ncRNA from 1 species